rnacentral:rRNA from 1 species
UGCAGUCGAACGCGAACGUUUCCUUCGGGGAACUAGUAGAGUGGCGCACGGGUGAGUAACGCGUAAGUAAUCUACCCUCGCAUUCGGGAUAACCCACCGAAAGGUGUGCUAAUACCGGAUACGUCUCAUUUAAUAUCUUUUGAUGAGAGAAAGGUGGCCUCUUGAAUCAAAGCUACUGUGCGGGGAGGAGCUUGCGUACCAUUAGCUAGUUGGUAGGGUAACGGCCUACCAAGGCGAUGAUGGUUAGCGGGUCUGAGAGGAUGAUCCGCCACACUGGAACUGGAACACGGACCAGACUCCUACGGGAGGCAGCAGUGAGGAAUAUUGCGCAAUGGGGGCAACCCUGACGCAGCGACGCCGCGUGGAUGAUGAAGGCCUUCGGGUUGUAAAAUCCUGUCAGAUGGGAAGAAGUGUGUAUCACCCAAUACGUGAUACAUUUGACGGUACCAUCAAAGGAAGCACCGGCUAACUCCGUGCCAGCAGCCGCGGUAAUACGGAGGGUGCAAGCGUUGUUCGGAAUUACUGGGCGUAAAGCGCGCGUAGGCGGCUAGAUAAGUCAGAUGUGAAAGCCCGCGGCUCAACCGUGGAAGAGCAUUUGAAACUGUCUAGCUUGAGUACUGGAGGGGGUAGUGGAAUUCCCGGUGUAGAGGUGAAAUUCGUAGAUAUCGGGAGGAAUACCGGUGGCGAAGGCGACUACCUGGCCAGAUACUGACGCUGAGGUGCGAAAGCGUGGGGAGCAAACAGGAUUAGAUACCCUGGUAGUCCACGCCGUAAACGAUGUCAACUA